rnacentral:rRNA from 1 species
CCUACGGUGGGCAGCAGUGGGGAAUAUUGCGCAAUGGGCGAAAGCCUGACGCAGCGACGCCGCGUGAGGGAUGAAGGUCUUCGGAUCGUAAACCUCUGUCAGCAGGGAAGAACGGUCACUGUGCUAAUCAGCAGUGAAUUGACGGUACCUGCAAAGGAAGCACCGGCUAACUCCGUGCCAGCAGCCGCGGUAAUACGGAGGGUGCGAGCGUUAAUCGGAAUUACUGGGCGUAAAGCGCUCGUAGGCGGUAUGUCAAGUCAAGGGUGAAAUCCCCGCGCUCAACGGGGGAACUGCCUUUGAAACUGGCAAAGGGGAGUGUGUGAGAGGAGAGUGGAAUUCCAGGUGUAGGAGUGAAAUCCGUAGAUAUCUGGAGGAACAUCAGUGGCGAAGGCGACUAUCUGGCACAUAACUGACGCUGAGGAGCGAAAGCGUGGGUAGCAAACAGGAUUAGAUACCCGUGUAGUC